UUAAUUGAAACCAAAAAAGAGGUUUAUCACUGUUAAUGAUAAAAAUGAAUUAUAUUUACAAUUCCAAUUAAA
rnacentral:tRNA from 1 species